UGCCUCUCAGGAUGGCACCUGGAGAGUUUCCAGUCCUCUACCAGUUUCAGCUAUGGGAGGGAGAGUUAAGCAGAGGCCUAUCCAUUCCAUUCCUAGCUCAGGUAGUGGUUAGCGAGUGGAAGACAAUCUGGUACAAGU